rnacentral:tRNA from 1 species
AGAGAGCUUUGAUUUCUCAAGUGUAGGUUCAAUCCCUAC